AGAACUGGUUCGUAGAGCCACGAGCAGGGUAAACAAAAGAAAGCUCAAUGAGA
rfam:Clostridium sp. CAG:510 genomic scaffold, scf53